rnacentral:rRNA from 1 species
GACGAACCGUGCGAACGUUGUUCGGAUUCACUGGCUUAAAGGGCGCGUAGGCGGGCCGCCGCGCCCGCGGUGAAAGCCCCCGGCUCAACCGGGGGAGUGCCGCGGGGACGGGCGCCUCGAGCGGUGCAGGGCACGCGGAACUUCCGGUGGAGCGGUGAAAUGCGUAGAUAUCGGAAGGAACGCCGGUGGCGAAAGCGGCGUGCUGGGCACCUCCUGACGCUGAGGCGCGAAAGCCAGGGGAGCAAACGGG